CCCCGCCCCGUUGUGCAUUGCUCUCACUUGGCAUUGCUUUUGCCCUUCAGGCUCCUACUCUUGCUGGUCACCCGCCUGAAGGGGUUGGAUGCCUACCCCAUGUCCUCAUUGUUACCUUGGUGCUAUUGGGAAACUUGUGUACAACCCAGCAGGGAAGGAGAUCACAAGGCAGAGGCCAAGAGCCAGUGCCUCGGCCACUCCAGCUUCCUAAGGAGGCCAUUGAUCAUCGCUAGUGUUUUUCAUCACAAAAGAAGAAGAAGAAGAAGAAGAAGAAGAAGAAGAAGAAGAAGAAGAAGAAGAAGAAGGAAAAAAGGACAGAAGAAAAGAUCUGCAUGGCUGUCUCUUGGCUAGGCUGACACCAUUACAGAGGGACAACGUGCUUCAGUACUGCUCCUGUCCUCUUCUCUACUUAACGCUUUCCUUUGAAUAUUUAUCACCUGUGAAAUCAUAUCACGCUAAAUGCAGCACCGCCCUUCCGCUGUACACAGUGAGGAAUCUGCACCUUUGCAAUUGCAUCCGCGGUGAAAGAGCAGGCCAUGGAUUGCGGAACAUUUUGGUGUGAAAGGCGAGGUUCUUGGACUUGCUUUGCCUGGGCUCCUUCAAUCCAGGGGUGCAGCAGCCUCAUGUUCCACAAGAGCGAAUCGAAGUCCAGAGGGUCUAAACCGUAUUGAGUCACAGAGCCCGGAGAGGCAGGCCUGAUAGUGCAGGGGUUCCCUUACCCACAGUCUUGCCUGGCCUUCAUGACAGGGCUAAAGUGCCCUGUGCAAUAUGCAAAGCUUUGAUAUUUUUGUAACCGUGCCACUGAGACACUGAGACAGGGUCAGAGAGGUUAAGUGGCCUUGGCAGGGUCACAGAACUAGUAAGCAGGUAAGCCGGGGCUAGCCUAUUGACCACCUCCUCUUAUUUCAUGCUGUCUGUCAGAUUUCGGGUGGUGCUUACCAAGAUCUUGUUUCUUUCUUUGAUGUUCUUAUCAUUCAGUCUUUAUCAUCAUCUCCCUCCCUGGGUCCCGACUUAUCAUCAACAGAGUGCUGGACAGUCCAGCCAAGCAAGGCUGAGCCAUUUCCCUUAGCUUCCCAGCUUCCGGGAAUUGCUCAGGGUACCUAAACUAUCCAAAUAUUGGGACAACUGUGUUUUAUUGCCUUUUGUUUUUACAGAGUUUGAGUUACUUUCCAAUUUCUAAGCCUGUUUUCUCAGUUUUACAUGUUAAUUGAAAUGGGAUUCAAUGUGUCAAUUCAGAGUCAAGACCUCCGCCCCCCGGUUCUCCCUGGGAGCAUCAUAGCCCGGCCACUGCACCUCUUGCUUGUCUGCAGUGUCUGGUCCUCAUGUCUUAUGGUUCUUAGCAGUCGUAGGGGUUUGAAUCCUCUUGGGUCCCAGGGCAGAAAGUCUAAUGACCACCUCCUUUUGCAA
rnacentral:sRNA from 1 species